AAGAGACAUCAGCCAGACUUUUGAUCAGUGUUGUAAGUUUGUUGCCCACCGUUGAUGCUGAGGAAUGAUAAAGCCAGCUCCCUGACUUGGAUUUCUCUUUACCUGAUGCAACCUGAAAUCAGGAGCCUUCUGCAAGAGUUCCUGGUGCCCAGCAACACGAGGUAAAAAAAACAGGAGUUCAUGAAUGCUUGACCAUCUCUCUGAAGAAGAAUCUUCAGAACACUCCUUAAAAUUGACCUCCUUGAUAAAACUUGGUCUGACUUCAUAGCCAAAUCAUCAGUAUUAUAAUAAUGGGUGAAAAGAAAUGUUAAGGAUUCUUUUGAUGACCCUGACCUGGAUUUGGUCCUUUGCGGGAAUGUUCGGACGCCAAGGGUUCGGCCCGAGAGUCCUGCUCCGAUUUGGAAGACUAAGAUCUCAGGGUCCUGGAGACGGGCCGAUCGAGGGUCAGUGUCGCAGCAGGAUACCGUCAGAGGAGUCGGAAAAUCUUCUGCUGUGUGCCCAAAGACCCGGGAUCUUUGAGAUCUUUGGGAACAGAGCUCGGAGAAAGCGACGUAAUGGACUUUUAACAUCGUAAACCAACGAGUUGUUUGUUAUGUCUCCCCACUCGCUGGGAAAACGGGUGAAACACGAAGUCUUUGGGGUAACUGCAAGUCUGUGUCUUUGCUAUUGCUUUGUUCACGCUUGAGUGCUUGGUGGUGGGUGCUGAUGCUUUUUUUUUGCUCGUGGGAGGAGGAGGGAUCAUUGCUCACUGCCGCUUAUGCGUGGAAGGGAGGGGAGCUGGGGAGGACUUUGAGGUUCUUACGUUUUUCGGCACAGCCAAGAAGGGCCAAAAGGCCUGUUUCUGUGCUGUAGUUUUUCUAUGGUUUCUAUGGUUUCUAUGUUUUAACUGUCAUUCAUUCUUUGGGGCACUCCUCUGUUUUUGUGGAUGGUUGCAAAGAAAAAGCAUUUCAGGAUGUAUAUUGUAUACAUUUCUCUGACAUUAAAUUGGACCUUUGAAUCUUUGAACCUUUGAGCUGUGUUGGCUCCCCAGCCUGAAAAGCAAGACAACAUCCACCUGCUAGGAUCAUAUCUGAGGGAAUACUAGAGGGAAACACUGUGUUGGAAAAAAGACACCAUUACAAGAUAUCAUAUUUUGAAUCACAAACAAUAGAAAAUCUGCAGAUGCUGUAAAUCCGAACACCACACACAAAAUGCUGGAGGAACUCGCAGGCCAGGCAGCAUCUGUGGAAAAAAAGUACAGUCGACGUUUCGGGCCAAUAUCAUAUUUGAAGUUGGCUGAGCUGAGGUAAGAGGCAUCAAGAGCUGCAAAAUUAGAAGCAAAAAGAUUUAGGUGAAAUUAAAUCUGCAGGCCAAUUUACUGCUAAUAAAAUGUUUUUGCCCUGUUGAGUGGAGACGGUUUCUCACGUUUUCUUUAGGUAUCAUUGAGUGGAGGCACUUCUUUAAAGAGGAAGCACAGAACUGGCAUUUGGCCGAGAUUGUGGCUCUCAAUGGCUGCUUUCAAGUUAUUCUCAGUGUGCACGAAGCUAGUGGAUCAUUGUUUAAAAAAAUACUUGUGCCAACAGCAGGAUUAAAGUUCAGUUUUCUGCACCUGGGUUUUAUUUUACCGCCUUGCACCUGUUCUCCCACUAAUGGGUGGAAUAUUACAUCCAUUUCCUUCGACUUCUUUUCCCUCCUCACUGACAACUGUCACAUUCUUUCUAUAAUUACCAAUAAUACAGCUCAUUUUUUUUUUGCGCUACUCCAUCACUGCCUUGUGAUUUUAUUCCUAUUGUGUUUUGUUCUCUACACACACAGAUGUUUUGAAUAAGGUCUAGCAAAGCUCAAAGCUAGGCUGAAGACCUUGACCCUCAUACACUCAUCCAAAUUAUAGCACUUAUACCCAGGAGGCUUUUUGUUUGGGUUGUAGCCAAUCUUUCCCUUUCAAAAAAAAUGGAAUUUGAAGAGCUUUUCGACAGAGAAAUUAUUUUAAAACCAAACUAGUUACACAUACCUCACACUUAACCACAUUAUACUGGGGCCAAUAAUUACCGUGUAAUUAUGUGUGACUAAGCAAUUUUUUAUUAAAGUAGGUGGCACAGUUCUUUCAUGUUUCUAUCUUUUCAUUGAAUCACUUCUGACUGAGCCUUUGGUCUGUGAAUUGGAACAUCUAAGUACAAACCAUUUCAUUACUGAACAUAGCAUGAAGGCCAUUCUUUAUAACUUCUUAUUAAAACUGAGAUAUCACCAAAGUUCUUGAAUUUUUUUUGGCACACAGUGUUCUUUCCUCGCUGAAUGUUACAGUUUGUAUCGGUGAAUAUCAGCUGGAUUUGCUAAAUAUCAAUAAAUGAUGCCGAAUUGUACCACUUCUGUUCCCUCCUGUUUCUCCGGAGGCACCUUGUCUUCACCAAGGUCUCACUAAGGAAGAAAAUGGAAACUUGUUGCCAGUUCUCCUGGCCGCCAGUGGUCUCAGCAUUUAGACCCUAGAGCAAAGUUAAAUAAGGAAACAUGGAACAAACCAAAGUGGAGUACUAAUGGCUGCAAAGACAAGUGGAAGUGUUCACUGUAUUUUCCAAGAAGGUCUGUAAAGGAAUAUUUGUCAAGUUUCAUCCUGAGUGGCUGCUCAACACUUUCUACACUGUUGGUGCUGAGAUAACCACCAAAUAUUACUGAAAGAUCAUCAGCUCAGUGAAAGAUGAUUCGCCCAAAGCCUGCUGGUUCUUCCAGUGCAAGAAGUUGUCCACCAUCAAAUGCUACAGACCUGCGUAUGCCAAGACUUGGUGCUGAGGGACGCAAUCCAAGGUUAAGUUGAGAUAUGCCAGGCAGAAGGAAGAAUACUGAAGGACACAGACAAAUAGAACUAUACAAGGCAAAUAGAAAGACACCUGCUAAGCAAUUUAUAACUGGCCCAGCUUAUAUGGACUGCUUGUUGUACUUAAGAGCUUUAAAAAUGUACGCAUAUUAUGUUGUGGUUCACUACUUGUAAUAGUAAGCCCAACAAGCUCUGCAUGGGCUAAUAAUGAUGUUCUUUGAAAGACUAUUAGUGCAACCAAAGUUUCUAUUGUAUUGGAUGGUUGUACAAAGGCUUUAUAGGUUACUGGGUCUCAAAUUCUACAGGUCUUGGAUGUCCAAAUUUAAGUCUUUAAUAAUUUGAUGGUUGGCACACUUCAAAUAUGUAAUACCUGCAGACAUACCAUCCACUGUGUUAUAUUUAUAAGCCUUUAUUUUAUGCAUGAUAGGCAACAGGAGGUCAACAGAUACUGACCCUUUUGCUUUUUGCUAGCGUUUCAGAAUCAGAUUCAGAAUUAGAAUCCGGUUUAAUAUUGCUGGCAUAGUCAUGAAAUUUGUUGUUGCCGGCAGCAGUACAUUGCAAUACAUAAUAAAAAACUGUAAAUUACAGUAAGAAGUGUAUAUAUAUAAUAAAAAAAAGUUAAAUUAAAUUAGUCGUGCAAUAAGAGAGCUAAAAAAAGUCAUGAGGUAGUGUUCAUGGGUUCAAUGAUCAUUCAGAAAUCUGAUGACAGAGGGGAAGAAGCUGUUCCUGAAUCAUUGAGUGUGUGCCUUCAGACUUCUGUACCUCCUUCUUGAUGGUUACAAUGAGAAGAGGUUGUGUCCUAGGUGAUGGGGAUUCUUAAUGAUGGAUGCCGUGUUUUUGAGGCAUCACCCUUGAAGGUGUCCUGGAUGGCGGUGAAGCUAGUGCCCAUGAUGGAGAUGACUGAAUUUGUAACUUUCUGCAGCUUAUCUUGGUCCUGUACAGUGGCACGAGCAUCACCACACCCACCCCCCCACCCCACCAGACAGUGAUGCAGGCAUUAAGACUGCUCUUCACAGUACUUCUAUAUAAAUUUGCAAGAGUCUCUGGUGACAUACCAAUUCUCCUCAAACUCCUAAUGAAAUAUUGCCGCUGUCAUGUUUUCUUUGUAACUGCAUCAAUAUGUUGGGCCCAGGAUAGAACCUCAGAGAUGUUAACACACAGCAACUUGAAAAUGCUCACUCUUUCCACACCCGAUCCCUCUAUGAGGACUAGUAUGUGUUCCCUCGUCCUACACUUUCUGGAGUCCAGCAUCAGUUCUUUGGUCUUAGUGACGUUGAGUGCAAGUUUGUUGCUGCGACAACACUCAACUAGCUGAUAAAUCUCACUCCUGUACGCCUUCUUGUCACCAUCUGAAAUAAUUUUAAUAUUUCUUGUAAGAUUAUUAAUUAUUUUUUAUUCUUUUCCCUCUAUUUCUAUGUUUGUGUGUUCCUUUAUCUCACCUAAUUGCACAUUCUUUAACUUUCUUACUAUCCUUCUCUCCAGCCUAUUCAAUUGAUGAGUUUUCAGAACAUGUAUCCACUCGACUUUCUUGAUGUAGCUGUUGCUCUGUCUGUCCCUGAAUGUUGCCACCUCCAUUCUUUCUUUGCUCUUGUUCUUGUUCUCUUCAAUUCUAGCCUUCAGUGCUUGCAUACCUUUAGGUUUCAUCUCUGAAGAAGGGUUUACACCCUCUCUCACUGCU